GGUCAGCUGACACAUCCUGGCCAAUCUCCAGCAGACCCUCCCUCCCAGACCCUCCUACUUCCUGGACAGCAUCCAUGUUGAAGCAGCUUCAACAUGGAUGCUGUCCAGGAGGUGGGAGGGUCUGGGAGGGAGGGUCUGCCGGAGAUUGGCAGGGAUGUGUCAGCUG
rnacentral:miRNA from 1 species